GGCUCCGAAACGUCCGUCGGCAAAACGUCCGCACACGGGGUAAACCAUAGUAUACUUGAUUAAAUUAAACACUAAAUCUCACUUUGUUCUUGUCUAUACAGAAAUAGCACUUAGUCUGGGAUUAGACAUAUUAGGCAUUACUUCUCAAGAUUGCUAUGCUAGUCAAGCAUCAUACUUAAACUGCCUUACUUAAAGUCACCUUCGUGCAAGUUAAACAAUGUAAAUAGAAGACUACAUCUUUCUCUUAGCAGGAUUCUUCAAUCUUCUCCCCUUUGCCCUGUGAGAGGAAGUGUCCAGGCAUUUUUGACAUCACUUAAGUCCAAAUCAAAACAUUUUAUGAACAGUUUAUUAUUUAACAAAAGAAUACUCAAAAGGAAAUAAAACUAUUUUUCUUAAAUAUUUGUUACAAGGAUCAUAAAGUGCUCAAAGUUACUGUAUAUGCACAAUAGAUGAUGACAGAAUCUCCUGGGUUAAAUACUGAUACAAUAUUAAAAUGCUAAAUUUUAUCAGGAACGAAAUCAAAUAUCUGCAAAAAAAAUCUUUUUUAGUAUAGCCACAUGUGAGUGGUGCCUUGACAGGCUAGAAGAUCAUAAUUCAUAUAAUUGCUUUACAAACAUAAGAGAACACCUUGUCAUAUCUCACAUCCUAUUUUUACUUAAUAAAUAAAUUGUAACACAAUAAUGCAGUUUUAUUUUUUUAAGUGUAGGGUAAAUUGUUUAUGUGUCAUGGUCUGUGCAGGGUCAGCAGGCUUUGUUACCGUUUCGUACAGAGGCAGAUAUUCUCCCCUGCAGUAUAUUUACUGGAGGCUCAGAUAUUGCCUCAUUUUUCUCGUAGCUAAAUGCCUGCAAUCAUUUUCUCCCAGACCCUAAGUGUAUAUUCAUUUCUAUUACCAGCUUGGCCUUCUUUAUCUGUUGCUCUAUAGCAGUGUACAUUUUUUUUCCUCUGAAACAUUUGUGUACAGCAGCUGCAUUGAAAAUUAAAACAAAACACAUGGGUUGUUUUAGUGUGAUAUUUAAAAGGAGUUAACUAGUUUACUGCUAACCACCUAGUCAUUACCUCUGUAUUUAUGAUGCUCUCCUUCUUUAAUACUAUUUUUUUCAAUGCACAUCGCAAUUUUUUUUUUAAGUUCUAAUCAUAAUUUCACAAUUUGAAAUUUUUAAAUGUGUAAAAAUUAUGUCUAUCAUUAUCCUAUGUUUGUGUUUGUUUUAAUCAUUGCUUUAUUCAGUAUGGUGAGAGCUCUAACUGGAUCCAACAAGAAUUGUCAAAGCAAGUCAUAAUCAAAUUAUUUUUUUCCCUUCUUUUUGCAGCAUACUAGUUUUAUUUCAGUCUGUAAGAUCUUUAAAUAUGUUUGAACACAAAAUUAUAGUGAGUGUGCAUCUUUGAAACACCCUGUUUUGUAAUGUUUUUUUUUCCCUUGAGCUUACUAUAAAGUGGUAAGUUUAGAUUAGCACAAAGCUCUCAUUCCAUACAAAACUAUACAUCAGCAGCAAUUUUCAUAGAUUUCUAUUUUUUUUAAAUGUGCAUUGAAUGCAUAAGAAAAUAAUACUUUGUACUUUUUAUAUCUUGUAAUAUUGAUCAUAAGCUUUUAAAUUAUCAUAUUGGCCAAUUUUUAUUUGUGAAAUUCCAUAGUUUUCAUAGCCAAAUUUCACCAUGUUUGCUUCUUGGGUUAAUUAUUUUUUUAUUAUUUGCAGACAUUUAUUUUUUCUUGCUGUUUUGAAUAAUAUAUUCACAGAUAGAAGAGUCCUUUGAAAAAUCGAUGAUUUUGCUGCAUUAUAUGAAUGUAUCAUUUGUAAACUAGAUGACCAAUGCUAACAGCUGAGUAUCAAUAAUAUUUUUUUAGAAGACCAUCAGUGCUCACACACUUCUAUGCCUGUCUCACUUUCAGAGGUGCACUUGAGAAAACAAAUGCAAUUGCUCACAGUGAUUCCUAGUCACGACCUAGAGUCUAAGAAACUUUAAAGUGCUUGUAUGUAUUUGGCUGUUUGAACUGUCUUUUUUGUAAGCAGUGUCCUGUAAAGUGGGAGAUUCACCAGCGAAUGGCUUUUGUUGCACAUGUGCUGCUGCUUUGCUUCAUGUGAUCGCCUAUGCAUACAUUCAUAUGUGCAAGUGCACAGACAUGAGAAGUUUCUUUCUCCCAUUGAGCUGAUUGCAGCUAUAGUCAGCAUUUUCCUGAACAUGCUGAAGAUAGCUAGCUGUGCACUUCUGACUGUCCCAUUUAUACAUAUAUCCUCUUAAAAGCAUUUAUCUUUAGUUAAGUGGUGGAUUUGUUUUAUUAGAAAAAAGGGUGGAAGAAAACAAUGUCACCAAAGUAAAUUAUGAUCAGCUUUCUUUCUUUUUCCUUUUUUAUUUUAGAGAGUUUGUGAUAGCUCAUAUUCAAAACAUGAUGAGAUAGUUUAGAAUUUGAGCUAAUGCAUUUUAAAGGUUAUUCAUAAUGCACACAUUUUGUGUGUGUGUGCUCGCGCUCUCGUUUGGUGCUAAAAGUAAGCCUUACAUAAGAAGAAUUAUGGGGAUAUCAUCAAAAGGGUUUCCCCACUGCUGCAUUUGUCUAAGCUUCACUUUGGGAUUGUAGUAAUUUACCAUCACUCUCACAAAGUGCAAAUGUCACGUUUGUAGUUCUCUCACAAGAGUGCUACUGUGUGGUCUCAAGGCCAACAUGGAUUUCCUGGUUGUGAAUGAACAAACUAACCUUUAUGCAUAUGGAAUAUCUGUGCAUUUGACUGACAUGCUCACAAUUAUUCUAGCUCAUAAUAUUGUCUCUUGAAUAUGUUACAGUGGGAUUACAGUAAGAUUAUUUUUUUCUAAAAAUUUUGGAUGCUAAAAAGUUGUUUCAUACAUUUUGUUGGAAUUGCUUUUGGUAGGAGUCUGAGUUGUGCUACAAAUGUUUAUUCUGGUAACAUAUGAUUGUCAUUGGUAAAGAUAUAGGUAUUCCAUCACAGAUAAAAACUUAUACCUGUGGCUUGUCUUUGAAGUUAUGAUUCCUAAUCUCUUGGAUACAAUGAACUUCAUGCUGCAGCCUCAGUCUGUGUUAACUGUCUCUGACCAGUCAUGUAUCACAUCACAUUAUCAAUGCCCUUUGAUAUGGUAGUGGUCUAAAUUGCACAGUAAAUACCCUAGUACAAAUAUGUUAGUGAUUCUUUGCUCUUUAUCCUUGGAAUGACAACAUUAUAAAGAACCAAAUCUGAUUUCCACAGUCAGCAUAAACAUGUGAUCUUUCAGCUUUUCUAUCAAAGUUGGGGUAUGUUUGCAAUGCAAUUGUCAUCUUGCCAUGGAUUUAAUGCUGGUCACCUCUGCUCACAUUCCCUUUCUGCCGUAAUUAUUUUUCUAUUCUACAAGUCUAGAUUGCAGUUUAAUGAGCAUCAGAAAAUGGUGGUGAAAAUACAUUUCAUAACUUUGGGUUUAAUUUUCUCAUGAUCUAAAGGAACCCUUUGUCAAUUUUUCUCUUUCCUUAUCAACUUAAAUUUAACCAUGAUAUAUGACUGCACAUUACUGAAGGUUGUUUUGGAGAUGGAUGUUUGUGUUGGUUAUAUUAAACUGUGUGUUGUAGUACUAAAUUGUAUAAAACAGCAUUAACUGUAUUUUAGCAUUACACAAGAGAUCAAGAUAUUGUUGUAAGAGAGACAAAACAUUAGCUUGAAGAUGUGCUGCAAUGAGCUGCAUGAAAGGUGUGGAGGUCUUUCACUAGCAAGAAAGCUUAUGAAGUAUUGGUACUUUUGCAUCUUGCUUUUUUAGGUGACUAAAGGAGUUUAAUAAAGAGAUAUAAUACUUUAUUAAUUUGAUGAAAUAGUAUUUUGUGAUUAUUUCUUUUCCCCUUAUGAAAAGUUUCAAAAUUUUGGCUUGGACCAUCUCUUGAUCUCAUUUAAAUGCUUUUAUUUCUGUGAGCAAAAUAAACCAGAUGUCUGGUCUAGUGAGAAUUCAUUUACUUUGUAUAUCUUUCUCUCCUAAUGCUUGUACUUUUUCUACUUUACAUGAGGAACUUAAUUGCAGGAAGCGUUCAGUAUUUUCAGGUGUUUAUUUUUAAGAAUAACCUCAAAAGUAAAUGUGUUAAUUGAAGAUAUAAUGAAACAAGAAAACAUUAAGGCUGGAAAGAGUUCGUGUUAUAUUAUUUCUUACAUAUUAAAAAAAGCAUGCAAAUGCAAAAAUAAACUUAUGCAAUAAAUAUUGAUGUCUUUUUAUGACAUUGUAACGGAGUAGCAUAUUUUCAAAGACCUCGGGGAAAAUUUUUUGAGAUGAGAUGCAGAUUAUUGCUUACUCUGGUUUUAUUUAAUUUAUUGCUGCUUGACAGUGACUAAAAAAAUAUUGUGCCUCCUGUCAUAUCAUUCCAGUCUCUACUGUUGUCUCUGAGUUGUGCUGUAGAGCACAUUUUUUGUUUGUUUGUUUUUUUGUGUUUUUUUUGUUUUGUUUUGUUUUGAUGAUGAUGAUGAUGAUGAUGAUAUGGCACAUUAUCUUUUGCCUUAGGAUAUAAUGCAAAUUAACAACUUUUUUCUUGAGCUCAAUGGUCACAACUAAUGUCACUGACACAUCAGAUGCAUUACGUUUUUUGUGUAUGUGUUAAACCUUUCAAAAGCAAUUCCAAAAUUUCAAAGUGUUUUUUAGGACUGUGCCAUACUAACAAUGAAUCAGGGCAUGCUGAUGCUUCACCUCAAUGUAUUUUUGGAGACAAGUUCUUCAUGCUCAUGCAUGCUGGUUUGCUUAUGACUAUGCAUACUAGAACACCUAUUGGAAGGUAUUAAAACAUUCUGCCAUUUUUUAAAACAUAAUACUUCGGUAGUAGACAUCAUUUAUUUGUAUGCAUUACUUUGUAUUGAAGAUGACACUUUAUACUGUGCCACUUUGUAUUGCAUCAGCUGGGAUACACCUUUUUAUUAUUACUAUUGUUUUUAAUUAGACAAAGAUGGCCUUGAGAACUUGUUUCAGUCACAGGUGAACUGAAAUGUCUUAGUAUGUGCUUUCACUGUUUUGACACAAUACUACUGUGAUUUAAGUGUUUAUGAAGUUGUGUGUGCUGCUGUGUAAAAAUGUUGCAGUUACAAUGCUUGUUCUCCUGAUAUUACAGAUUCAUACACUUGUUGAUAAGUGAAGCCACUUUUUCCCUUUGUUUCUUAUGCUCCUUACCAUAAAAGUAGUCCACUAAAUAGUACACUAACAAAAACUAUAUCAGAUAAACCGCAUAGAUACUUGUGAAGGAAAUUAACUGAAUUGUUUAUGUUUUAGUGCUUUUUUUUUUUUUUUGAAGGGUUGAAUUCUACUUUGGAUUAUUUAGUUUUAACACUGAAAAAUUUUCAAAACCAUGUAAUUUUGUCCUUUUUUUUUUGAAAGACCUUUUGAACUGGAUAACUCUGGGACCAGGGUUACUUGGGACCUCUGAUAAAGAUUGUUUUUCCUUUUCUCUUUGUGCAGAUAUGUGGUAGCAGUUAGCUUUUUCCCCUUUGUCACAGAAACAACAUUUGUUCUUUUCUUAAUCAUCCUAAAAUGAGAACUAAUGUAUGCUAUAUUACACCUCAUUUGAGGUGUCUUGAUACCAUUGUGUGUAUUUCUAUUUGACAGUGCAAAUUUAUGCUGCUGAUGUGACUGUUAAAAAGUGUGAUAGUUCUUUUGAAAUUUAAAGUUGAAAGAGUCACCCUUUGCUUUUGAAUUUACUGAAACCUACUGAUAUUUAUUCUUUCAUAUGUUUAGAAAACAUUUGUUAACAACCAGUUACUCUAUAUCUGAAAUAAAUCAAACAGGGGAUGAAGUAUCCAUUUGCUUGCAUCCUAAAUUGCAUUCAACCUUUACUGGUUUCUAGGAAACAAAAAUUAUUACCAUUUGUGUAGACCAUGCACGAAGAUGUUUGUUGGGAAUACAAUGAAAAGUGUGAACUACUUUGUCAAAUUUAUGCUAAUCAUUUGUCAACAUAAUACAUAAGCUUAACAUCCAUUUUUCUUUUGUCGCACAAAAGUGCAUGUACAGUAAAACCAAAGUACUCAUUCUUUCAUAAUACAGUUCUGCACCAUGUUACUUCAUUGUUUUAUAAAUAUGUGGUGACAGAUUUCGUUUUGGGGUUAUCUACAGAUCUUUGGAGGUCAGUAAGCAUUGUUUAGUGAGCAUUUCUGAAAAUGAAGCAGAAAAGUUAACCAUUUCACAAAGUUUCUUUUCAGGAUAUUUUUUUCCUGUCAAGUUUUCAAAAUGGUUAAUUUUUUUAAACUGUUAUCUUAUUAGUGAAUUGACAUAGCAUGGCAUGUUUGUGCGUGUGUGAAAUGUUGAAAUCACCUCCACACAAGUCACAUUAAUACCAGUUAUUUUGAGGGGCUUAAAGCAUAGCGAUUUUCUUUCUCUCCCCCUUCCCCAGCUUCCUUCCCUGACAGGCAUGUAUUUUUUAAAAAUGGCUCUGGUUUGUUUGUUUUUUUUUUUUUAAUGAAUGGCUACAUAGUGAUGACAAAGAUGAAAUCUGUAAACAUAAUUACUUAAUAUUCUUAGUAUAUAAUCAUUAUUAAUUGAUAGGAACAAUGCUGUCUCAGUGUUUAUUUUUAAAUUGAUGCCUCCAAAAUAAAAAGUAAACACUAAUGCUACAGUAUUAAUCUUUCACAGAUCCAGUUAAUUGGUUGAUAUAAAUAUUGCACAGAGGAAAGUGUCUGUAUGCAAUUCCUUGCAAGUGAUAAAAAUGCAAGAAAGAAAUUAAUUUUUCACUAUGGUUAACAGUAGAUAUGAAGCCUGCUUAUGCCGUAGUAUUAUAUUUCACAGGAAUUGUAUUAUCGUCUAAGCUUUGCUUUUUCAACAGUUGAUUUGUGUGUGUGUGAAAAACUCUUAUUGCGGAUAUCUUUCUAUUAAAGUGGCUCUAUGGGAAAUGGAAUUUAUGAGUGGAGACAGUUUUAUACUCUUAAGGGAUGGUGUUACAGGCUAACUGAACUCUGUGAUCAAGACUAACAAACGAGCUGUUAUUUUUUUCUUUGCAUUAUUCUAUCACAUGUAAAUGCAUUGCAAGAUGUUGAAAUAUUACAAGGCCAUGCCAAGAUGUAUAUAUCUGAUGACAAAUUCACACAAAACAUGGAAUAGACAAUGACUGUAUUUAUAGUUAAUAUACAUGCUUAUGUAAAAAUAGAUUGUAAUAAAAUACUGUUUGUAUCUUGUAUCUGUCUUGUGUUUUCAUUUAUAAUACAAGCGUUUGUGUGAAAUGACAUUUACACUGUAUAGCGGUUGUAUAAUUCUGUGUCAUGACUCACAUAACCAUUAAAAACCCUUUUAAUUAUUGUAUAAUCAUCAACGGCACACGCUGAAAACUAAUUUGACCACAGCGACACACAACCGUACAACCCCUAGAUAAUGUCUAUGAGCUUAGGCGGAAUACCACAGUGGAUCAUCAACUUCCAGAUGAGUUCCUGCCUACACUGUUAAUAAAAGGUAUUCUCAAAAUCAACAAAAGUUAUCUAAAGGAAGCACUGCCAUUCGAUAGACUGCUCAAUGAUGAUACUGAGGGUGGAAAUGUACGUGGUCAGUGCAUUACCUAUCCUGGCGAAACCGCGUGCUUGUUCCGGCUCAGUCUCUUGUCUAAUGCCUCAUUUAAUCUAUCUAGUAUUACCCUUGAUCAGGGCUAGGAAUGGUUAGCAGCAUGAUCGCCAGCCAAUUGAUUAACUGGGAGAUGUGUCCUUUCUUUGGUAAUUUGACCAGGUGACCUGUACAAGACAUGUACAUGUUCUUAGAUCUCGUGCAGAUAGAGGCUGUAAAAUCGUUACUUUGUUUCUGGGUCUGCUUUUAGUGUUUCUGGGAGUAUGCCAUCUUGUCCUGCUGCUUUGCAGCUUUCAUGCUUUUGAUAUCCUUGAUUUUUUUUUUUUUUUUUUUGGGGGGGGGGGGAGCUGGCGUUGACGUGGAGUUGUUCAUUUGCUGGUGGCAUGUCACGUAAAGAUGGUGGAUGAGGUCGGUUCAGAAUCGCUUCGAAGUACUCCAUCCAGGGGUCUCUUUGUUGAAAUACACGUCCUUAUGGUCUUGCCGUCUAUGUCUUUCACCGGCUUGUUAGGUUAAUGUUCCUGCCUGACAGAGUUUAUGUUAUGUACUGAGAAUUGUGAUAGUUUUUCAAAGAAUCACACGCAUCCAUUAUAUAUUAAUGUACUUCCACGAUUCGAAUCAUUGAAUAGUCCUUAAGUUGUUUCUCGCCCCAACACGUGAGUACAAAAAUGAAGAUAUUGAUUUGGAACAGGAAAGCGGGGAUAGGGUGAAACCCAUCUCUACUGAACAGUAUAUAGCGAUCAGCUUUCAAUUCAAAGAGAACCCAAGCUUUAGCCAGGCUGAAUCCACGUACCAUGUGCACAGACUUUUACACUCUCUCUAUGCUAGUCUGUGGGACUGACGUUAUAUCAGUGCAGUUCUUAUUUAGUCACAUUUUCAAAUAUCCGCACAGAGUGGCUUGAGACUGCGAUGGCAGCAGAUUUGAACUAUUGAUCGACAGCAAGAAUCAGACAUUGGGUGGCAGACAUUGUUUUCGUUUCGCAAAAUGGAUGUUACUCAUGGUCUUAUAUCAAGACUAGUAAAAAGCAAGUCGACUGAGCGUGUUCUCGCUCCGAUUGCCUCUCAGGUAUCCUUGCUUAUGAUACUGAGUGAUGUGGGUAUUCAAGAAGAGAGCGAGAACGAAGUACCAUCUCUUAGUAUGAGCUUGUGUCUGGAAAAACUGAUUCGAGCCAUCAAUGGAUUUAUGGCUGUUGGCGAGGACCAGAUUCGUGGUUCUUCUGAUAUGGUUUUCAAGAACAAAAUGAGUGGGGCAUGUGAAACACUGGAGCUAGCCAAGAGCCAGCUGUUUGUGGCUGGUCAACAGGUUAGUUCCAUGCCAAGCAGCUCUAGUGCUCAUUCUGUGCUAGUCAGGACAGCAAAGGAUCUACUGCAGGCUGUUCUUAGGGUUCUAUUAGUUGCUGAUGAUGUAGAAGUCAGAAGAAAUGUCAAGGCUAUAGGAGUUGUGGAGGAAAAACUCAAGAAAGUUAGCAAUGUCAGACGUGCUCAAGAUCUGGUCCCUGCUUUUAAGGAGUUAGCUGAAGCAAUACUAUACAUGACCAUGUUGGUAAGUCGACGCCAAAAAGACCUGGUGAGCAGGGCUCAGGGUGAACAGCUAGUUGUGGGAAUGAGCAUGUUGCGUAAAGGAGUCUCUAGCCUUGGCAUGGCUGUUCAGACCUUCCUAAAGUAUCCACAUAAUCCACAAGCUUUGGCAAGUAAAGAUCAAGUUAUUACUCAGACAUUGACCACACUGGCUGAUAUGCGAGAAGUUCUGGAAAGUGGUCCUCCUUCUGACAUGGACAGUGAGGAAACUGGACAUUUUGUGGAACAUAUUGACAAGGUUCUGGAUGGACUUUCAGAGGCCAAUCGAUUUGACCUAAACCCUGAUACAGAGGUGUGGGUCGCAUCAAUUGUACGUCAUGCAAUGGGGGUUGCAUUGCUUUGUCAGGGCACGUAUCACCACCUCAUUACUCACACAUGUCAACGGAUACUGCAAUCCAAGUUUCGCCUGUUUGAGCUGAAAGAAGCAAUGAAACAUGAUCCUAAUUUAGGGGAAAUCAGGUUUGACUACGAAAAUGUGUGUGAGAUGCUCCUGGAUGAGUUCUGCGAGGUGGAGAAGCAUGUCAACAUGGCUCUUCUUAACUUGAUAGUUGAUACUUGCUGCUUCACCUCUCAGCCUUUUGAACUUCUGGCCAAAGCGGCACUUCACCCACAACAGGAUGAGACUGCUAAUCUUCCAGAAUCUUCCCUGGCAAGGGACUUUAGCUUCCACAGUGAGAAAGUGUGCCAAGUAGCUACCAUGGCUGCAGCUAGUUCCAUGGACCCCAAAAAAGUUCGAGCUGUCAAAAUAGCUGUUUCUCGACUUGAGCAACUUGAUCCAGAAGUGAUCCCAGCUGUGAUGGCUGUGGCACAAUGCUCAACUGAUGUGGUAGCAGUGCAACAGCUGAAAAGGCUAGUACAGGAGUGGGGACAAGAGAUGGAGCUUCUAGUGCAGACCCUUGAUUCCAUGACUGACCCUGCUAUCUUCAUUAACGUCACAGAACAACGAAUUCGGCAAAGCAUCAACGUGAUUCGAGGGUGUUUGUCAGAGAGAGACAUUCCUGGCUUGAAAUACAGCUUGCGUAAGCUGCUUGCCCAUGCACGUCAUAUGAUUCAGGUGGCUACUCAAGUUGUGGACCAUCACUUUGAUCCUAUUUUUCGCAAUGGUUUGCUGGUGUUCAUACAGCGUAUGACACAAGCAAGAAGAGGCUUAAAGGAGGCGGGACAGGCCAUCUUGGAAGAUCUUACACAUCCUCGUUUGGCAGACACUCUGCAACGACGAAUGAACUUACUGGUAGAUACUACAUCUGACCUACGCCAGGGUCUUAAGGGAGACAAUCAUGUAGAUGUGCUCAACCCAGCCCGUGAAAAUGUUCGCAACAGACCUCACCAUGUCUCAAAGGUUGUUACUGGAAAGAAGAGAUCAGAGUCGGAUGUGCUUCCUGCAAGAAGCAAGGAACAUGCCAGUCAACCCAAACCACUCAAACCAGUCCAGGAGCCCAUGAUGAGCAAUGUGAACAAAGAAAGCAUGAUGUCAUCACAAGCAGCUAUUCCAGCAAUGUCUACAUCUUCCAUAGCUGCCCCAAGAACUUGUACAGCUUUACAUACAACUUCCACUGUUUUUCCUGCAGCUUCCACAGUUGUUCCUGCAACUUCCACUUCUGUUCCUACAGCUUCCAUAGUUGUUCCUGCAAAUUCCACUUCUGUUCCUGCAGCUUCCACAGUUGUUCCUGCAACUUCCACAGUUGUUCCUACAGCAUUCUCAGUUGUUCCUGCAACUUCCACAUUUGUCCCUACAGCAUUUACAUCCGUCACAAUGGCCAGCACCCCCACAUGCAUGGCUGCAGUGUUGAAUGGUGCGGUUGUGGCAAACCCUGACAAUAUAUAUUACACCAGUCAACCAACAUUACAGAAAACAGGCAACAAAGUAAAAGAUAUGGAUGCACAGUUGACUGUUUCAUCAUCAACAAAUGUCCUUACCAAGCAGCAGAAAGGGGAGGUGAGCAGACUUGUGCAGGUGUGUGGAAACGGUCUGGUGUCAGCAGCAGUUGCAGGUGAUGCAACAGCUUUAGCAGAAAGGAAUGGUGACAUGCUUGGAUGGACAGCUCAUUUGGUGGAGACUGCACUUUGUUUGUUAGACCAUUGUCAUCAUGUCAGUUGGCAAAGGGAAAUGCAAGAGCUGACUGUGACUCUGGACAGACUAGCUCCACAAGUGAUAGAAAUGGCCAGAUUUGUGCUGGCUGGAGACAUGGGGCAGUCUGAUGCUUUGAAGGAGCUAGUAGACAGCUGGAUGGAUGUAUGUAAUAGGUUACGGAUCGUAAUUGAUGUGGCGACAGGGGACUGGCUUGUGCUGAUGGAGCAGGUCAUACAGACUGUCUCAGCCAAAGAUCCCACCAGCCUUAAGCAUCUGCUUGGUCAAGUGGACAGCAACUUUCGUGAAAUGAAGCAGCUUUUAAGAAAAGCACAAAAGUUAGAGGGCUGCCAUGUGCCAGCUGGCGCACAGAUUAUCCAGUUUUUAAGCAACACUCAGUCUGAGCUAGAGAAUGUGACAGCCACUCUGAAGACCGCUGCAGACUGCAUGGCAACCUCCUCCACAUCAGCUGGUGACAAAAAUGCAAUCAUGAGGACUCAGUUAGUGCAGUGGGGCAGAGAGUGGUGUACCUUGAUGACCUGUGUUGUGGCUGAGUUUGACUACAUGGCUGACAUACUCAUUCAUACUGGCCAGUCCAUUCUGGGUAUCCCAGCCACUGUGGGCAUCAGCAGUCCAGUUUCUAGUUCCAGUCGUAUUUUCAGCAGCUGUGACAAUAAAGUUGCAGCAUUGAUUGAGACAGAGACCAUUCGCUUGAAGGACAUGCUAACAUGUCUUUCCAGCAGUGAUUCAGGUACAAGAAAACGCUGUGAAGAGCUGAAGGAGUCAUUAAGUGAGAUCAUGAAGGAGGUGACGGAGAUUGUGCAAAACCCUAUAGAUUCCAUCCUUCCCCAGGCACAGCUGUUUGCUCGACUAGAUGCAGGCAUGGCUCGAAGCCACUGGACAGAAAAAGCACUUGAAACUGAACAGCUAAUCCGCCGGUACUGCCUCAAGUUCUCUGCCCCUGUCAACAACCUCCUCAUUUUGGCCACAGCCACUUCCACUUCAGGCUAUUCAGCUGUCUUCUGAACUUCCCCAACGAGCCACUGUGCGACGCUGCCUUGAUGAUUUAAACAUUUUGCUUGCCAUGAUCACAGAGUCUGCAGCAUUGUGUGCUUCAGAAGCUGGUUCCAGGCCGAAAUCUAAAGAAACUGAGCUGUACAAAGCUGGGUUCAGUGGGGAGCCAAGGUAUACCAUCUCAUCAGUGUUCUUCGCAGCAUGAGUGAUAUUAAACCAGGGCUUGUUGAAG
rnacentral:misc_RNA from 1 species